AGGCGGUUUGCCGGAGCAACAAAGGGUCUUGAUUUUUAGAGGCAUGCAGGUUUUAAAGAAAGAAAACAGGCAGUGUUGAAAAGAAAGAAAAAGAUUUUCAACUCAAAGAAUUACAGUGACACACUGAGGGUUCAGGAACCAUAAAUUUGAUGUUGGAGUUUGAACUCCACCCUGAUAGAUUUUGAGCACAUCAUAAAAUUUAGACCUAUGGAAAAAGUCUUGUAGUUGGAAGAUAAAGAAAACACAGCCAUGAAAAAAAUCAGAGAAAUCUUGUGAGAAGAGUGUGCUGGCCUGGACAAAAAGUUGCAGUUUGAAUAACUUACAAGAAAGAAGAGUCUUGACAAAUUUCAUAGAAGUCUUGAUGAAAGAUUGCAUGUGUUGUUCCUGUUGUUCCAUGAUCUUUGUCCUUUUAACAAUAUUUAUCACUUUAUUUGAAGUGACGCAUUUUUGAUUUUCAUUAUUGAAAUAUUUACAUUUGAUACUCUAUCUAACCAUUGGGCCAAGAAAGGUGAAUACUCAUAUGGAAUCAUUGUCAGAUAGGGUAGAUUCAAGUUUGUACAAAUCAUGACCUCCUGAGUGUAAAGUGGGGCCACACUGAAAGUUCAAACUUGUAGGAAAAAAGGCUACAGUCAAAAAUAUAAAAGCAUCCUUAUUUAGUGUAGGUUCAAUUUUGUCAAAUCAUACCCCUCCCUUUUAAGGGUUGGUCAGAGCCACGUAUGCAUUUGAGUUUUUCCGGUACAAAACUGAUUUUUGCUUUUUUUCUUAGCCACAGUGCUGAGGUGAACCAGUUGGUCCCUGUCAGAGCCUCUUGUUCAAUUUGUAUAUAUAUUUACCAAAAUAUUGAGGCAUUUGCUAUUUGAAUAUUUUGCAAUUAGAUUUGUUAAUUUUUCCUGAAAGUAAUUUGCACGUUUAUUUUAUCUAAAGUUGUCUGGUAAUGAUGUGUUAUUGACUUACCCAUUUAGUGACAAGAGGUACAUUAUUAAAUUGUAAUAUUUACUUAAAAUUGAAAAUAAAGACCAAAUAUUGCCACUCAAGACAGUGGUGGGUGAGAUAGAAUGUUCUAAAAUUAAAUGGAUAUUAAAUUGU